rnacentral:rRNA from 1 species
CGGCGAGGGGAGUGAAAAAGAACCUGAAACCGUGUACGUACAAGCAGUGGGAGCACCCUUUGGGGUGUGACUGCGUACCUUUUGUAUAAUGGGUCAGCGACUUAUAUUCUGUAGCAAGGUUAACCGAAUAGGGGAGCCGGAGGGAAACCGAGUCUUAAUUGGGCGUUAAGUUGCAGGGUAUAGACCCGAAACCCGGUGAUCUAGCCAUGGGCAGGUUGAAGGUUGGGUAACACUAACUGGAGGACCGAACCGACUAAUGUUGAAAAAUUAGCGGAUGACCUGUGGCUGGGGGUGAAAGGCCAAUCAAACCGGGAGAUAGCUGGUUCUCCCCGAAAGCUAUUUAGGUAGCGCCUCGUGAAUUCAUCUCCGGGGGUAGAGCACUGUUUCGGCUAGGGGGCCAUCCCGGCUUACCAACCCGAUGCAAACUGCGAAUACCGGAGAAUGUUAUCACGGGAGACACACGGCGGGUGCUAACGUCCGUCGUGAAGAGGGAAACAACCCAGACCGCCAGCUAAGGUCCCAAAGUCAUGGUUAAGUGGGAAACGAUGUGGGAAGGCCCAGACAGCCAGGAUGUUGGCUUAGAAGCAGCCAUCAUUUAAAGAAAGCGUAAUAGCUCACUGGUCGAGUCGGCCUGCGCGGAAGAUGUAACGGGGCUAAACCAUG